rnacentral:rRNA from 1 species
UACAGAGGCCUCGAGCGUUAGGCGGAAUCACUGGGCUUAAAGCGUGUGUAGGCGGACUUCUAAGUACCUUGUGAAAUCCCACGGCUUACCCGUGGAACGGCUAGGUAUACUGGUCGUCUUGAGCCAUCUAGGGGCUACCGGAACAAAUGGUGGAGCGGUGAAAUGCGUAGAUAUCAUUUGGAACGCCAAUGGUGAAAACAGGUAGCUGGGGAUGUGCUGACGCUGAGACACGAAAGCCAGGGGAGCGAACGGG